GCACUUCAUACACAAUGUCUCAUCCAGUUGGAGAACCCUUACAAAUGAUUCUCAUGAAGAGUCUAAGAAUCCAACUCCCAUUUGUUUUGAUAAGUGAUUGGCAAAAGUGAUUUCAUUCUUCCUUUGUAAAGAUGAAGUUCAUGUUUCUAUACCUAUUAUUUUAGGUAGCCACUGAAUUUACAGGAAACAAAGUAUAAAAAUUUUUCUGUCACUUUGUUCUACCUCCAAUAAUGGUGUUUUUAAUGCUGUUAAAUAAGGAGUUCUGAAUCAUCCUAAAGAUAUUUUCUUAGGAACUACUGAUAUCAAAUAUCAAGAUUUUAUGAGCUCUAUCAAACACAUGAAAAAUAUUCAAAUAAUUAUAGUAGCCCUGGUUUGCAAUGAUGUAGAGCAAUUAGCCAUCUUAAACACUGUUCUUAGGGUGAAAAACUAGAACAUUUAUGAUGUUUUAAACCCUUUAUAAAAUGUUCAAAACUGUUACAGGUGACACAUGAUCCUCCUUUUUCCUUUUGUUCAGUUCAGGCCUCUGUACUGCCCCCUUCUGUCUUAUCCCCAAGCACACAUGAAUCAGCCCAAGUCCAGAAGUGAGUUCAGAUUCGAUCUGUUCUCUUAGUCCCUUCCCCUUUACCAUUGAUUAAAUCAGGAAUGGGUCUAUGAUCCAAUUAUGACCAGAAGUUCCAUUCCAAGAGAUGUUUGCUGGAAGCUUUAAGAAAAUUAUUUCUUACGAGCGUAUAUACUCAGUGUUCACCACAGUCUUAUAAUGUUUAAAAAUAGGAAAUACUAAAAUGAGAAAUACAUUGAUUUACUCAAACAAGAGUGUGAAGCUGUUAGAAAUGAAGAUGUGGUUCUUUGCUGAUGUAGUAGAAUGUCCCAAUAGAUUGUUCUGGGAAAAAGGCAAGUUAAAAAUAGUGUUAUAAAUACUAAAAAACAAAACAAAACAAAACCCCACAGUAUUUUAAAUAGCAUUCUAAAUGUACAAUUUGUUAUUUCUAUAACUAUAUAUCUCUUCUCAUAGAAUUAGAAGAGGUAAACAAUCAAGUUUCAGGAAAGCAGGAACCACUACUACUUUGAGAACUUCAGAUAUGGAUUGUGGAAUUCAAGAAAACCAUAAAAAGGCUCAGCCCUUUGUAUCUACCACUUAAUGAAAGUUGGUUACAUUCUCUUUUAUUGUUGGUAUUCUCCGGACAUGACAGAGCAGUGGUGGCUGAUGGUCCAAUUUUGUCACCAAAAGGAACUGGAGAGAAGGCUUGUAUUCCCACCCUCCAGUUAAAAAAAUGCCAGGAAAUGACUUUCUUUGGCACACCUUGAAUGAUAUACAAUCUCUUUAACCAAAUUACUGGGGCCAUGAGGAGUCAGGUACUGUUCAUAAUAGGCUCAGCUUGAGUCAGGUAUAUGCCUCUAAACCAACUGUGGGGACCAAGUAGGCAAGGCCACACACAAUGACACCUCCCUUUCUAACUACAUUCUAGAAGAGUAAAGGCAGAUGCAGAAUCCAGGUAGGAAGGAUAGGCAGUUCUGUCCCAGAAGGAAGUUAAGCGUGCUGGGCAGAUUAGGAAAAAAAAAAAAAAAAAAAUCGCACAUAUCCUUAAGUGAGAAUCAGAGUCAGCUGGGAGAACAUUUUAAAAUUAAACAGUGAAUCUUGCUUUCUUUUCCCACAGGUGGUAAAGUUGAGAUGAGAAUAUGUAUUUUUGAGAAAGCUGCUUAGGAGUUUAUUGUCUAUUCUAACCCCUAGAGAAUCUCUUUCCUUUAAUGUUACAUAGAAAAUAAACUAGCAUGGAGUUUCCCAAGCUUGCAGUUGACUGGGUGCUUUUGUGUUAAAUUGUCAUGGUGUUAACAUUUUUUGUUUUGCCCUUUAAACUUGAUUUAUCUGCAAAUCUACAAACAUUUGAAUUAUGUAAAUAGGUAUCUGUACGGGAAAAACACUUUUUGCUCAUAUGAUCUUGAGAAAGAACUUAGAUUCUGGCGCCUUAAAACGUGGCACCUUUUUAAAAAGUCCUUGGGGCUUUUGAGUCACCAUAUAAAUGAGGUCUCUCAACUUAGUAUGCCAGGGAGAUCAGUCAUGUCUGAUUUUAAAAUAAAACGCUGCAAAGAAAGCUUCUGGGAGGAAUGAGAGCAUGCCCCAAAUCACUACUCUGUAAUUAGUCUUUGAGCAGAGUGGACAGAAAUUUCGUCCCAAAGCCACCGUCUUUGCUCUGCUUCCGUUCUCUGUAAGCAUGUCACACGAACCACACUUGUACGCCAUGCAUCCCAGUUUAAAGCUUUCCUUGGGAAGUUUCCCUAGCUUUAUUGCUUAUGGAAAGAGCAGCUCUGGCUCCCAAUUCGUUUAAUACAUCCUGUCCGAGAGCGUUUUAUUACUGAAUGUUAUCCACGUUCUGAUAACAAGGGGACGCUGUGUCCUCCACCGGUGAACUCACUCCGCGUUCCA